AAAUAAAAAACAAAUCAUAUGCACAAACAUUGCAUGCAUCAUAUGCAUAAGAAGGUUUUGUUCCCGGCUUCUUGUCCUGUGGUCUAACUUUGUGCUCUUCAUUUAUUUUGAAGACAAGCUGACUCACUGGUACUACACCAGAGCCAACAUUUCAACACUGAUGGAUCAUCUGGAAUAAGAGAACCGCAAGCUGAAAGAGGAGGUGGCCAGAUUAAGUGCCUUGAUGGAGUCAUUCAUGGCUGCCCAUAGCCAGUCUUCU
rnacentral:lncRNA from 1 species